rnacentral:rRNA from 1 species
GUUAAAGCCCCGGGCUCAACUCGGGGAGGUCGUUCAAUACGGCGGAACUUGAGGGCAGCAGAGGGAGACGGAAUUCCCGGUGUAACGGUGAAAUGCGUAGAUAUCGGGAGGAACACCAGUGGCGAAGGCGGCCUCCUGGGCUGCUCCGGACGCUGAAGGCGAAAGCUAGGGGAGCGAACGGGAUUAGAAACCCCGGUAGUCCUAGCCGUAAACGAUGGAUGCUGGGUAUGGGGGGUAUAGAUUCCCUCCGUGCCGAAGCUAACGCGUUAAGCAUCCCGCCUGGGGACUACGGCCGCAAGGCUAAAACUCAAACGAAUUGACGGGUCCCCGCACAAGCAGCGGAGCGUGUGGUUUAAUUCGAUGCUACACGAAGAACCUUACCUGGGUUUGACAUGCAAGUAGUAGUGAAGCGAAAGCGGAACGACCCUUCGGGGAGCUUGCACAGGUGCUGCAUGGCAGUCGUCAGCUCGUGCCGUGAGGUGUCGGGUUAAGUCCCGUAACGAGCGCAACCCUUGCCCUUAGUUAUACGUGUCUAAGGGGACUGCCCGGGACAACUGGGAGGAAGGUGGGGAUGACGUCAAGUCAGCAUGGCCAUUAUAUCCAGGGCGACACACACGCUACAAUGGCCGGUACAAUGGGUUGCCAAGCCGUGAGGCGGAGCCAAUCCCGCAAAGCCGGUCUAAGUUCGGAUUGUGGGCUGCAACUCGCCCACAUGAAGCUGGAGUUGCUAGUAACCGCGCGUCAGCCAUAGUGCGGUGAAUACGUUCCCGGGGAUUGUACACACCGCCCGUCACGUCAUGGAAGCUGGCAACACACUAAAGCACGGUAUGCUAACCACGAAAGGGAAGCCGCCGUCUAAGGUGGGGCUGUAACUG